rnacentral:rRNA from 1 species
GACGAACGCUGGCGGCGUGCUUAACACAUGCAAGUCGAACGGGCCCGCUCUCUUUUUUGGGGGUGGGUUGAGUGGCGAACGGGUGAGUAUCACGUGAGUAACCUGCCCCCUGCUCCUGGAUAACUGCUUGAAAGGGCGGCUAAUACGGGGUGUGCCGGCUGGUCCGCAUGGGCCUGGUCGGGAUAGUUUCAUCUUCGGGUGUUUCGGUGGGGGAUGGGCUCGCGGCCUAUCAGCUUGUUGGUGGGGUGAUGGCCCACCAAGGCGGUGACGGGUAGCCGGCCUGAGAGGGUGGGCGGCCACACUGGGACUGAGACACGGCCCAGACUCCUGCGGGAGGCAGCAGUGGGGGGUAUUGCACAAUGGGCGGAAGCCUGAGGCAGCGACGUCGCGUGAGGGAUGGAGGCCUUCGGGUUGUGAACCUCUUUCUCCGGUGGUGAAGGCCCUGUCCGUUGCGGCGGGGUUGACGGUAGCCGGGUAUGAAGCGCCGGCUAACUACGUG